rnacentral:rRNA from 1 species
GCGGACGUGACUGCUAUCGGAUGAUACUAAGCCAUGCGAGUCUUUGUAGUAAUACAAGGCAGACGGCUCAGUAACACGUAGUCAACCUACCCUAUGGACGAGAAUAAUCUCGGGAAACUGAGCAUAAUUCUUGAUAGAUCAUAAUGCCUGGAAUGGUUUAUGGUUAAAAUGAUUCGUCGCCAUAGGAUGGGACUGCGGCCUAUCAGCUUGUUGGUGAGGUAAUGGCCCACCAAGGCGAUUACAGGUACGGGCUCUGAGAGGAGAAGCCCGGAGAUGGGUACUGAGACACGGACCCAGGCCCUAUGGGGCGCAGCAGGCGAGAAAACUUUGCAAUGUGCGAAAGCACGACAAGGUUAAUCCGAGUGAUUUCUGCUAAAGAAAUCUUUUGCCAGUCAUAAAACCACUGGUGAAUAAGGGGUGGGCAAGUUCUGGUGUCAGCCGCCGCGGUAAAACCAGCACCUCAAGUGGUCAGGAUGAUUAUUGGGCCUAAAGCAUCCGUAGCCGGCUUUGUAAGUUUUCGGUUAAAUCCAUGUGCUCAACGCAUGGGCUGCCGAAAAUACUGCAUGGCUAGGGAGUGGGAGAGGUAGACGGUACUCAGUAGGAAGGGGUAAAAUCCUUUGAUCUAUUGAUGACCACCUGUGGCGAAGGCGGUCUACCAGAACACGUUCGACGGUGAGGGAUGAAAGCUGGGGGAGCAAACCGGAUUAGAUACCCGGGUAGUCCCAGCUGUAAACGAUGCAGACUCGAUGAUGCAUUGGCAUAAUAGCCAGUGCAGUGUCGCAGGGAAGCCGUUAAGUCUGCCGCCUGGGAAGUACGUACGCAAGUAUGAAACUUAAAGGAAUUGGCGGGGGAGCACCACAAGGGGUGAAGCCUGCGGUUCAAU